rnacentral:lncRNA from 1 species
UUUAAGAGCCUCGGAAAUUUCCUUUAAGGUCAGGAGAGAAGCUGGUAACAGAUGGGGCGAAGGAGGAAAAGUUCUUUUUGCGGCACCCUCACGCCUUCCCAGCCCUUUCGCGGUUUACUCGCUCCCCGGAAAGCAGGGCAUUCAAGCAGCCCUGAGGAGAGGUCCACAUGGUGAGCCACUGAGGGCCUUGCCAAGAGCCAGCACCAACGGUCCAGGUUUGGAGUGUACCACCUUGGAAGUGAAUCUUCCAGUCCAGUCAAGCCUUCAGAUGACUUCAGAACCGUCCAUGUAAGCCACUCUUGGAUUCCUGACCCACAGAAACU